rnacentral:lncRNA from 1 species
CACAAAUAAGGAACAACAGUUUUCACAUAUUAGUAUAUAUAUAAAACCUUUGUCUCAGGCACACCUCUGGAAAGUAACAAAAAAGAAUACUGUGAGUAGGCUAAAUAUAUCUAGCUGAACUGCAAAAGGCACCAAGGGACGGUGCUAUAUGGCAUGGUGGGUGCAUAUUAAAAUGUGUAUCGGGACAUUAAUGAUAUGGUUAGAUAUGGUAAGAAGUUGCACAUAAAUGGUAUGUCAUCCUCGUGCCUGGUGCAGAGGAGUCAGUACUAUUUAAAGUGACACAACUGCAAGAGGCACCAAGGGACAAUGCUAAUUGACAUGCCAAAGUGCACAAAUUAUGAAAAAGAUAAAAUAUUACCAGUUUAAUAAAAAAAAAUAAAAAAAUAUCACAAACAAGAAGGUAAUAGAACUUGUACGAUGUGUCCUGUACCCCACCAUGCCAACCUCGUGCCUAGUGCAGAAAGCCUGAUUAAAUAUUAAUCUUUUAAGUUAUAUUUUAUCUUCAUCAAUUAACUCACAGACGGAUAUCAAAAUAUCAAGAUUCUCUACAUUAAGAA